ensembl:lncRNA NR2F1-AS1 NR2F1 antisense RNA 1
GAAACGAACACGAUUAAAAUAGACCAAAAGAAAAGAAAGAAAAGAAAACCUUUCUAUGUACAGAUUCUAAAUCGUACUCCCCAUACAGUCAGAGGCAGGGAGUCGAGGGCAGAGGCAGCAGGCGGAGAGAGGGAGAUAGGGCGAGGGAAGGAGAACGCGGAGAGAGACGAAGGGAGUGGGAGACCAGCGACAGCGAGCGCCAGGGCACCGCAGGCACACUGGAUGCCCAGUCCGCCGGCCCAGCCGCCCUCGGACCCUGGACCGUGCGUCGUGGGCACCAGAAACGAGACUCGGCCAAAUCCUGCCUCACCAGCAGGUAGAUGAAACUCAAGAGAAAAGGUGUGGAUAAAUGAAACUAGCCCAUGAUGAACCUGUUUUCUCCGUGACCACAAUAUUAACCAGGAUGAAUGGCGGUGGCAGUGGGCCUGCAUCACAGGUUGCAGCAGAUGUUCUCAAUAUUUCUAUUAAAAUUUCCUUAUUUCCAUAUGCAAGAGGAGCCCCAGAGCUGCAUCCUUAUGGUAGCUACCAUGCCGUGAUGUAAGCUGCCAUUCACUGGGGAGCUUUGGCAAUAGAAUUGGCUAGAUCAGGAAGCCUAUGUCAACUAUGGAACAACAACUUGCAGCUCAUCUCUAUUGAUGUUAUUUCUUCCACUGACAUCUUGAACCCCUCAGUCAUCCAUGAGGCUUGGAAUCAACUUCUUCCAAACUCCUGCUCAUGUUGAUAUUUUGAUCUCCUUUUAUGAAACAUGGAUGUUUUAAUAGCAUCUAGAAUGAGAAAUCUUUUCCAGAAGGCUUUCAAUUGACUUUGCCCAGAUCCAUCAGAGGAAUCGCUAUCUAUGACAGGGACUGAGUCUCACUGUGUUGCCCAGGCUGGUCUCAAAUUCCUGGCCUCAAGUAACCCUCUUUCCUUGGCCUCCUAAAGUGCUGGGAUUACAGGCAUGAGCCACUGUGCCUGGCCAUAAGACUUAUUCUCUAAGAAACUUUGAGGCAUAAUACUUCUUCAUUUAUUUUAUAAAAGAGCAUGGAGAAAACCCAGUGCCAAAACGGACCUCUAACAAUGAUAUUGGAAGAAUAGAUACUAAGUCUUGGAGAGGUGAAACAGUCGCAAAUGGAAUUCCAAGAAACAUUCUAUCAUCAGGUAUUAUCUACUGCUGUCUGCAGAAUUCAGACAUGGAGGGCUCAAUGGUGUCCCCUGGUCUUUGGAACAUUCUGUAUUUUAAUGAUCAUGAUACACUGCCUCUAGGACUGGGACAGAUAGCCACUGAGUACCUGCUUCAAAUCACCCUGCACGUUUUCUCUUUGGAAAGAUAAGCACUGGAGAACCAUCUCGUUACCUUCAGCAGAAAUGGAAACAAAUCAAGACAUUAAGAAUGCCGCAGUGGACAGCAGUUAUGCAAGGUUCAGCAGAGGAAGUUUUCAAGAUGGUGUGCCUCACUAGCCAGAAAUCAGAAAAGAUCGAAGCUAGCCUUUUCAUCUCAGCUGCUCCUUAAAUCAGUGCAACCCCUCCAAAUUAAUGUGAAUUGAAACUUGCAUUGCUUUUCAACUUAAUUGAAUACUUACUAUAUGUGAACCACUGCACAAAAUAGGGGAAGAAGAUGUGGGAGACAAAGAUGUGGAGCCUGUCUUCAAUAAAUUUACAGUUAGUUUCAGGGUACAUUGUUUUUCUUCUGCUGUUAAUUAGGUGUAUCCCCAAGACAAUAAAUACAUGAAUGGAAAAGUAUAUUCUGUGUUUUAAGUCUCUUUAAUAAAAAACAAAACAAAAUCCAAAAAAACUCCUAACAUGGCAACUCAGGACAUUUUAAUCCUUUUUUUUGUUGUUGGGCUUCUGAUAGGAUCCAUUUUAUUGAUUCCAUAAAUAUUUAGUAGACUUUAGACAUAUUAAUACAUUGUAGUUUGAGUUAAUUUGCAUUAAAUUCUGUUUUUUUCCCCUUAGGUAUAGAUUGUCUGUUGGAAAAAUAUAUUGCUUGUGGAUUUCUUGGGGAGUGGGAAGGUGAAUUAUACCUGUUGUCUCUACAGUCCACUACCUUCCACACCCUAGGGCAGUGGUCCCCAACCUUCUUGGCACCAGGGAUCAGUUUCCUGGAAGACAAUUUUUCUGUGGAUGGUGUGGGGAUGGUUUUGGGAUGGAACUGUUCCACCUCAGAUCAUCAGGCAUUAGUUAGGCUCUCAUAACGAGUGCGCAGCCUAGAUCCCUCACAUGCACAGUUCACAGUAGGGUUUGCGCUGCUAUGAGAAUCUAAGGCUGCCACUGAUCUGACAGGAGGCAGAACUCAGGUGGCAAUGCUUACUGGCCCACUGCUCACCUCUUGCUGUGCGGCCUGGUUCCUAAUAGGCCAUGGACCCCCACAGACGGGUACUAGUCUGCAGCCUGUGGACCCCAGCCCUAGGGGCCUGCCAUUCUGAGUGAGUUAUUAGCAUGAAGAAGAGGAAGAUCUGGAUCAAACGUGGGUGAUGGUACUCAGAGACCCAAGAUAGGAUAGGGAUGGAACAAAAUCCAUCUGGGCAACGGCUCUAUGAAAAUUUGGCUAAGUAAUUAUUUCAGUAUUCAUUGUAUUCAUUGUCCUUCGUGUUCCAUAAGUUAAAUGACUGUCUAAUUUUUCCAAAAAUUUAUUUCUGACUUGAGAAUAAGUGUGUCAUGAUUUUCCCAGUGUAAAGACACUGAUAUAACUGUAGAUACCAGACAUUUUAUGUAGUGUCUAUGACACAUUUUAGUAUGUAUGAGCCAACAAUAGACAUGUCUUUGUCUUGAGGAGUGUCCAUCUGAAUUGAAAAUGUGUCAGCUUUUUUUUAACAUCAUCAACAGACUUCUUAAUUAAGCUGCCAAUACAUACUGCCAAUAGCACUGUGUGCUGUCUGAGAAAUGCAUUGUGUAAGUGCUAUUUCCAUCUUAUUAAAUAAACAAUGUUGCUCUGUAUAAACUGGAUUUAAAGUGUUCUUUGAAUGAGGCAUUAUAUUGCUCCAUAAAUAAUGUGAUGUGAAUUCUCAUAUGAUCCCUUUUAACUUAAUUUCUAAAAAAAUAUUAUUUGCUCCUCAGUAAGGAAUAGCUCUAAUUGGACUGGUAACUUUAGUGAUAUGAUUUGUCUGUAACAGGCUGAAUCGCCCCACUCCCAAACUCCUGGUCGUGAUACUGGAUAUUUGUUAUGCCACUUUUAGUUUGCAUGAGGUAUCUUCCAGGAAGUAUUAGUUAUUAACUUGUGUUCUACUAAACUGUAGAUAUUUAUUUCCUGUUCUGGAAGAUUUCUUGGAGUGUCCAUCUGUGCAUUCCUGGUGCCUAGUGUAGUCUUGCUAAUGGAAUAGCACCUUUAUUGGUGCUACUUAGGGGUUGGUAGCUUACAAUCAAUCUACUUGGAACGUAUCCAAAUAAACUGGAU